rnacentral:rRNA from 1 species
AGAGUUUGAUCCUGGCUCAGGACGAACGCUGGCGGCGUGCCUAAUACAUGCAAGUAGAACGCUGAAGAGAGGAGCUUGCUCUUCUUGGAUGAGUUGCGAACGGGUGAGUAACGCGUAGGUAACCUGCCUUGUAGCGGGGGAUAACUAUUGGAAACGAUAGCUAAUACCGCAUAACAAUGGAUGACACAUGUCAUUUAUUUGAAAGGGGCAAUUGUUCCACUACAAGAUGGACCUGCGUUGUAUUAGCUAGUAGGUGAGGUAAUGGCUCACCUAGGCGACGAUACAUAGCCGACCUGAGAGGGUGAUCGGCCACACCGGGACUGAGACACGGCCCAGACUCCUACGGGAGGCAGCAGUAGGGAAUCUUCGGCAAUGGGGGCAACCCUGACCGAGCAACGCCGCGUGAGUGAAGAAGGUUUUCGGAUCGUAAAGCUCUGUUGUAAGUCAAGAACGGGUGUGAGAGUGGAAAGUUCACACUGUGACGGUAGCUUACCAGAAAGGGACGGCUAACUACGUGCCAGCAGCCGCGGUAAUACGUAGGUCCCGAGCGUUGUCCGGAUUUAUUGGGCGUAAAGCGAGCGCAGGCGGUUUGAUAAGUCUGAAGUUAAAGGCUGUGGCUCAACCAUAGUUCGCUUUGGAAACUGUCAAACUUGAGUGCAGAAGGGGAGAGUGGAAUUCCAUGUGUAGCGGUGAAAUGCGUAGAUAUAUGGAGGAACACCGGUGGCGAAAGCGGCUCUCUGGUCUGUAACUGACGCUGAGGCUCGAAAGCGUGGGGAGCGAACAGGAUUAGAUACCCUGGUAGUCCACGCCGUAAACGAUGAGUGCUAGGUGUUGGAUCCUUUCCGGGAUUCAGUGCCGCAGCUAACGCAUUAAGCACUCCGCCUGGGGAGUACGACCGCAAGGUUGAAACUCAAAGGAAUUGACGGGGGCCCGCACAAGCGGUGGAGCAUGUGGUUUAAUUUGAAGCAACGCGAAGAACCUUACCAGGUCUUGACAUCCCGAUGCUAUUUCUAGAGAUAGAAAGUUACUUCGGUACAUCGGUGACAGGUGGUGCAUGGUUGUCGUCAGCUCGUGUCGUGAGAUGUUGGGUUAAGUCCCGCAACGAGCGCAACCCCUAUUGUUAGUUGCCAUCAUUCAGUUGGGCACUCUAGCGAGACUGCCGGUAAUAAACCGGAGGAAGGUGGGGAUGACGUCAAAUCAUCAUGCCCCUUAUGACCUGGGCUACACACGUGCUACAAUGGUUGGUACAACGAGUUGCGAGUCGGUGACGGCGAGCUAAUCUCUUAAAGCCAAUCUCAGUUCGGAUUGUAGGCUGCAACUCGCCUACAUGAAGUCGGAAUCGCUAGUAAUCGCAGAUCAGCACGCCGCGGUGAAUACGUUCCCGGGCCUUGUACACACCGCCCGUCACACCACGAGAGUUUGUAACACCCGAAGUCGGUGAGGUAACCUUUUGGAGCCAGCCGCCUAAGGUGGGACAGAUGAUUGGGGUGAAGUCGUAACAAGGUA